ACUAGAGGUACAGCCGCCAGAUCGCAUCUUGGUACCGUAGUUGGCCGGCGUGCAACGUCAUCUCUGUCGACUCCGGCCGGCCGACGCAGUGAGUCGAAUACAUCGAGAUGUCAAGUGAAGAGAUGGAGAUGGGAAACGGGAGUGAGUCCGACCAUGACAUUCACGUCCAGAACCAGGAGAAUGAGGUUCCUGAGGACAAUGACGAUGGGAAGGAGAUUGUGCUGGUCGAUGAUGAGGCAACGGAGGGGUUACAGAAGGAAGAGGAAGCGGCUGCUGCUAACAAGGAUAAGGAGGAUGGUGAUGCUCAGACAGGAAGAAAAGAGAUGGCAGC